GCGCCUGUAGCUCAGUGGAUAGAGCGUCUGCCUCCGGAGCAGAAGGUCGGGGGUUCGAAUCCCUUCAGGCGCAC
rnacentral:tRNA from 1 species